UAGUUCAGCACUAAGUCACUUUGUCUUAAUGGCAAAUGUCAUAUGCAGUGUAUGGAAUGUCAAAUUUCUAGUAUGAGAAAUUAACGAUUUAAGUCCUUCUUAAAUGAGGCCAUUUACCCAAAGAGGGUGCCAGGCCCGUAUAACGUUAAUGAUUACUAGAUGGCAUUUCCAAAGAGUCGUGUUGCUUGAUAGUGCAGCACUAAGUGGGUGGUAAACUCCAUCUAAAACUAAAUAUAACCAUGAGACCGAUAGUAAACAAGUACCGUGAGGGAAAGUUGAAAAGAACUCUGAAUAGAGAGUUAAAUAGUACGUGAAACUGCUUAGAGGUUAAGCCCGAUGAACCUGAAUAUCCAUUAUAGAAAAUUCAUCAUUAUGAUUUUAAUAUUUAUAAUAUUAUAAUAAUGGUGUGCAUUUUUUCUAUAAAAGGACAUUGUAAUCUAUUAACAUCAAAUAUUUAUCAAAAGAUCAAUUGCAAAAGUUUAUUCAAAUUAUUUUGCUUGCAAUUUAACAUAGAAUAAAUGCUUUUGAUUUGAUAAAGUGUUGAUAGAUUUAUUAUAUAUAGUGCUUGAAUAUUUAUAUUCUAUAAUAGCAUAUUAAUCAUUGAUUUUUAUGUUUAUUAUAUGCACUUAUAUGAUUAACAAUGCGAAAGAUUCAGGAUACCUUCGGGACCCGUCUUGAAACACGGACCAAGGAGUCUAACAUAUUUGCAAGUUAUUGGGAAUAAAAACCUAAUAGCGAAAUUAACAUAACUUAUUUAAUGGGAUUAAUUUUUAGCCUAUUUAUAGUCUAUUAAUUCAAUCCCGGGGCGUUCUAUACAGUUAUGUAUAAUAAUAUUUAUAUUAUUUAUACCUCUAACUAGAGCGUACCUUGAGCAUAUAUGCUGUGACCCGAAAGAUGGUGAACUAUACUUGAUCAGGUUGAAGUCAGGGGAAACCCUGAUGGAAGACCGAAACAGUUCUGACGUGCAAAUCGA
rnacentral:rRNA from 1 species